CUCCUUAGAUAUUGAGACACAGAAAUGCUGCACAUAAUAAAGCUGAAGUAUGUAACUUUUAUAAAAAAAGAUAUUUAUGAGACAGUUAAUCUCUGAUAAUCUCCCAGUGCUAACUAGAAAUAACCAAUCAAUGAGUCUUUUGCAUGCCAGAAAAAAUCUUUUGCGCUCUUUUGGAAAAGAGCAGUUAGUCCGAGUGCCGCAUUUUGGAUUAGACAAAUGUUAGCGACAGAAAGGGAAGCAAUAAAAAUUUGCAGAGGUGUGGUUUUCAUUUUAUUCAUUUGUUAAAGAUACAAAACUCAGAUGAAGAAAAUUAAAUAUAGAUUUGUGUGACUCUGGAAAAUAAGAUUAAAGAAACUGUUGGUGUGUGGAAAUAAAAUUGGGAUUUUUCUUGUGUUUUUUCCUCUUUUUGUUAGCCUUUUUAUCUGUUUGGUCAUUUAUUUCUGAUCUAAAUGUUUGAAUCAGAUGUUUAAUCAUUUACGAGCCAUUAGAACUCAUGCAAACUUGGACUAUGUGUGUGAAUUAUAUCUCUAUUGUUAUUAAGAAUAUAACAAAUGUAUGAAUAUUUCCUAUAAAAAUUCAAAUAAAAAAUGUUUUAAAAAAGAAACAACCAAUCAUAGCCAGGAGGCGGGUCUUAGCGCUGUCAAUCAUUCUCCAUGUGGCGCUGAUCUCUGCAGAACUUAUUGUGAAUCCUAAGACUAGUUAGCAUAGCCACUAAUGACAGCAGAUUAACAGUUUUUCUGUAACCAUCUGUGCAUGAGCAUGAUUGACAGCAUUAAGCUCCUCCUCCUGGCUCUGAUUGGUUGUUUUUGGUCAGGAGCAUAUAGCAAUAGGAUGGGAGGAUGUGGAAGAGAUCGAUAUGUUCACAGAUUAUCUGGUUCAUAUUAACCCUUCCAGGCCGUACGCGUCAGUGACAACGCAGACAAAUUUGCAGUACCGUAAUUCUACCACACUUUGCGCUAUCUGAAAAAUUCCAACGGUUUCUGAAAGGGGAGACGUUGCGCUUUCCAGCUGAUAUCGUGUUAUUAUUGUAAUUUCACUCCCGCCGUAGCAGGUAUUGAAACUAAUAUGAGGGGCAUGCUUUUAAUAGACGGUAAAUUGCGAAAAUAACUUGCUUGAUAUUGAAAGUUCCAUUUGUUAUGGCUUAAUAA